UAGGCAGAUGGCUCCGCCAGUAGAGCAUGAGACUCUUGAUCUCAGGGUUGUGGGUUUGAGUCCUUCAACGGGCAAAA